rnacentral:rRNA from 1 species
UACGGGGGAAGCAAGCGUUGUUCGGAUUUACUGGGCGUAAAGGGCGCGUAGGCGGUCAGCACAAGUCAGUUGUGAAAUCUCCGGGCUUAACUCGGAAAGGUCAACUGAUACUGUGCGACUAGAGUGCAGAAGGGGCAACUGGAAUUCUCGGUGUAGCGGUGAAAUGCGUAGAUAUCGAGAGGAACACCUGCGGCGAAGGCGGGCUACUGGGCCGAUACUGACGCUGAUGCGCGAAAGCCAGGGGAGCAAACGGG